UACGGAGGGUGCGAGCGUUAAUCGGAAUUACUGGGCGUAAAGCGCGCGUAGGCGGCGUGAUAAGCCGGUUGUGAAAGCCCCGGGCUCAACCUGGGAACGGCAUCCGGAACUGUCAGGCUAGAGUGCAGGAGAGGAAGGUAGAAUUCCCGGUGUAGCGGUGAAAUGCGUAGAGAUCGGGAGGAAUACCAGUGGCGAAGGCGGCCUUCUGGACUGACACUGACGCUGAGGUGCGAAAGCGUGGGUAGCAAACAGG
rnacentral:rRNA from 2 species